rnacentral:rRNA from 1 species
GAAGUAAAAGUCGUAACAAGGUCUCCGUUGGUGAACCAGCGGAGGGAUCAUUACAGAGUUAUACAACUCCCAUACCAUCUGUUAACCUACCCAGUUAUGCCUCGGCGUAAGCUCGGUUGGAGGCACCUGCAGCUACCCUGUAGUUGCGGACUGCCAACUCCAGCCGCGGCCCGCCGGCGGUACACUAAACUCUGUUUUAUUUUAUAUUCUGAGCGUCUUAUUUUAAUAAGUUAAAACUUUCAACAACGGAUCUCUUGGUUCUGGCAUCGAUGAAGAACGCAGCGAAAUGCGAUAAGUAAUGUGAAUUGCAGAAUUCAGUGAAUCAUCGAAUCUUUGAACGCACAUUGCGCCCAUCAGUAUUCUGGUGGGCAUGCCUGUUCGAGCGUCAUUUCAACCCUUAAGCCUAGCUUAGUGUUGGGAAUCUGCUGUACUGCAGUUCCUUAAAGACAGUGGCGGAGCGGCGGUAGUCCUCUGAGCGUAGUAAUUUAUUUCUCGCUUUUGUCAGGCUCUGUUCCUCCCGCCAUAAAACCCCCAAUUUUUUAGUGGUUGACCUCGGAUCAGGUAGGAAUACCCGCUGAACUUA